CUACGGGGGGCAGCAGUGGGGAAUAUUGCACAAUGGAGGGAACUCUGAUGCAGCAACGCCGCGUGGAGGAUGACGCAUUUCGGUGUGUAAACUCCUUUUAUAUAGGAAGAUAAUGACGGUACUAUAUGAAUAAGCACCGGCUAACUCCGUGCCAGCAGCCGCGGUAAUACGGAGGGUGCAAGCGUUACUCGGAAUCACUGGGCGUAAAGCGCAUGCAGGCGGUUAAAUAAGUUGGAAGUGAAAUCCUAUGGCUCAACCAUAGAACUGCUUCCAAAACUGUUUAACUAGAGUCUGGGAGGGGAAGAUGGAAUUAGUAGUGUAGGGGUAAAAUCCGUAGAGAUUACUAGGAAUACCAAAAGCGAAGGCGAUCUUCUGGAACAGUGCUGACGCUGAGAUGCGAAAGCGUGGGGAGCAAACAGGAUUAGAUACCCUCGUAGUC
rnacentral:rRNA from 1 species